rnacentral:rRNA from 1 species
UGACAUCCUCGAGUCGCAUCGGGGAUCAAAGCCGGGGACCGCAAGGCCUGGCGCUUGGAGAUGAGCCCGCGUCCGAUUAGCUAGUUGGCGGGGUAAUGGCCCACCAAGGCUUCGAUCGGUAGCCGGCCUGAGAGGGCGGACGGCCACACUGGGACUGAGACACGGCCCAGACUCCUACGGGAGGCAGCAGUGGGGAAUUUUUCGCAAUGGGGGAAACCCUGACGAAGCAACGCCGCGUGGAGGAUGAAGGCCUUCGGGUCGUAAACUCCUGUCGACCGGGAAGAAUGCACCCGACCUAAUACGUCGAAGUGUUGACUGUACCGGUGGAGGAAGCCACGGCUAACUCUGUGCCAGCAGCCCGCGGUAAUACAGAGGUGGCAAGCGUUGUUCGGAAUUACUGGGCGUAAAGGGCGCGUAGGCGGCCCGCCAAGUCCCGUGUGAAAGCCCCCGGCUCAACCGGGGAACAGCGCGGGAAACUAGCAAGCUUCGAAUUCGGGAAG